rnacentral:rRNA from 1 species
UGGGGAAUUUUGGACAAUGGGCGAAAGCCUGAUCCAGCCAUGCCGCGUGAGUGAAGAAGGCCUUCGGGUUGUAAAGCUCUUUUAGUCGGAAAGAAAGAGUUGCAAUGAAUAAUUGUGAUUUAUGACGGUACCGACAGAAAAAGCCCCGGCUAACUACGUGCCAGCAGCCGCGGUAAUACGUAGGGUGCGAGAGUUAAUCGGAAUUACUGGGCGUAAAGGGUGCGCAGGCGGUCUUGCAAGUCAGAUGUGAAAGCCCCGGGCUUAACCUGGGAAUUGCGUUUGAAACUACAAGACUAGAGUGCAGCAGAGGGGAGUGGAAUUCCAUAUGUAGCAGUGAAAUGCGUAGAGAUGUGGAAGAACACCGAUGGCGAAGGCAGCUCCCUGGGUUGACACUGACGCUCAUGCACGAAAGCGUGGGGAGCGAACA